CAUCAGCAGUGCUGAGGUCAUGAACUCUUACUGUGAUCUCAUGAGAUUUGACUUAACUCUCAUGAGAUUUCAUAGUAAGCUUCCUUUACCUGAUUGGUGAAAUAAUAUGAGAGUGCACGAUGCUAGUCCCUUCAGAUGUCCCAGGACAAACACUAAAAUGCUGCUUAGAAAUCCUUUACAAUGGGAGGUGGCUACUGAGGAACUUUUGAGCCUUGCUGAAGCACCCCCAGAUCAUCACCAAUCUUCCACUAAAUUUCAGUGGGUGCGAGACAACUGGUUUGUAGGCCUCAGCCUUACCAUUAGACAAUCAGGUGUUGGGCAAAGCUGAAAAUUUGAUUCAGAAGAUGACCUGGAAUCAGGCAGAUGUAUCAAGGAUGCAUGAAUUAAGCCAUGGACAAGGUUAUCCUGUAAGAAAACUUGCUUUCUUCUGCUGUGACAAUGUUCCCCAACUCUGAGGAUUGCGUUUUCCAGCAGGACAAUGCUCUAUGCCCCACAGCCAGGUCAAUCAAGGUGUGGAUUGAGGACCACCAGAUCAAGACCCUGUCAUGGCCAGCCCAAUCUGCAGACCUGAAUCCCAUUGAAAACUUCUAGAAUGUGAUCAAGAGGAAGAUGGAUGUCACAAGCCAUCAAACCAAGCUGGGCUGCUUGAAUUUUUGCGCCAGGAGUGGCAUAAAGUUACCCAACAUAAGUGUGAAAGACUGGUGGAGAGCAGCCAAGAUGCAUGAAAGCUGUGAUUGAAAAUCAGGGUUAUUCCACCAAAUAUUUAUUUCUGAACUCUUGCUAAGUUGAAACAUAAGUAUUGUGUUUAAUAAUGAAUAUAAACUUGUUUUCUAUUAAUUAUUCAAGGUCUGAAAACACUGAAUCUUUUUUAUUAUUUUGACCAGUUGUCAAUUUCUGCAACUAAAUGCUCUAAAUGACUAUUUUUAAUUUGGGAGAAAUUUUACUUCCAUACCUAUAACUAGUAAAACCAGAGAAACUGA